rnacentral:rRNA from 1 species
GACGAACCGUGCGAACGUUGUUCGGAAUCACUGGGCUUAAAGCGUGUGUAGGCGGGCGGCAAGUACCUUGUGAAAUCCCACGGCUCAACCGUGGAACUGCUGGGUAUACUGGUCGUCUUGAGCCAGCUAGGGGCGAGCGGAACAGACGGUGGAGCGGUGAAAUGCGUAGAUAUCGUCUGGAACGCCGAAGGUGAAAACAGCUCGCUGGGGCUGCGCUGACGCUGAGACACGAAAGCCAGGGGAGCGAACGGG